rnacentral:rRNA from 1 species
UUGAGUUAGUGGCGGACGGGUGAGUAACGCGUGGAUAACCUGCCGUAUACCGGGGGAUAACACUUAGAAAUAGGUGCUAAUACCGCAUAAGCGCACGGCUCCGCAUGGGGCAGUGUGAAAAACUCCGGUGGUAUAAGAUGGACCCGCGUCUGAUUAGCUUGUUGGCGGGGUAACGGCCCACCAAGGCGACGAUCAGUAGCCGGCCUGAGAGGGUGGACGGCCACAUUGGGACUGAGACACGGCCCAAACUCCUACGGGAGGCAGCAG